rnacentral:rRNA from 1 species
UGGGGAAUCUUCCGCAAUGGACGAAAGUCUGACGGAGCAACGCCGCGUGAGUGAAGAAGGUUUUCGGAUCGUAAAACUCUGUUGUUAGAGAAGAACAAGUGCUAGAGUAACUGUUAGCGCCUUGACGGUAUCUAACCAGAAAGCCACGGCUAACUACGUGCCAGCAGCCGCGGUAAUACGUAGGUGGCAAGCGUUGUCCGGAUUUAUUGGGCGUAAAGCGAGCGCAGGCGGUUCCUUAAGUCUGAUGUGAAAGCCCCCGGCUCAACCGGGGAGGGUCAUUGGAAACUGGGGAACUUGAGUGCAGAAGAGGAGAGUGGAAUUCCAUGUGUAGCGGUGAAAUGCGUAGAUAUAUGGAGGAACACCAGUGGCGAAGGCGACUCUCUGGUCUGUAACUGACGCUGAGGCUCGAAAGCGUGGGUAGCAAACAGGAUUAGAUACCCUGGUAGUCCACGCCGUAAACGAUGAGUGCUAAGUGUUGGAGGGUUUCCGCCCUUCAGUGCUGCAGUUAACGCAUUAAGCACUCCGCCUGGGGAGUACGACCGCAAGGUUG